rnacentral:rRNA from 2 species
UACGGAGGGUGCAAGCGUUAUCCGGAUUCACUGGGUUUAAAGGGUGCGUAGGCGGUCCGAUAAGUCAGUGGUGAAAGCCCGUAGCUCAACUACGGAAUUGCCAUUGAAACUGCCGGACUUGAAUCUGGUUGAAGUGGGCGGAAUAUAUCAUGUAGCGGUGAAAUGCUUAGAUAUGAUGUAGAACACCGAUUGCGAAGGCAGCUCACUAAGCCAACAUUGACGCUGAGGCACGAAAGCGUGGGGAGCGAACAGG